UACGUAGGUCCCGAGCGUUGUCCGGAUUUAUUGGGCGUAAAGCGAGCGCAGGCGGUUCUUUAAGUCUGAAGUUAAAGGCAGUGGCUGAACCAUUGUACGCUUUGGAAACUGGAGGACUUGAGUGCAGAAGGGGAGAGUGGAAUUCCAUGUGUAGCGGUGAAAUGCGUAGAUAUAUGGAGGAACACCGGUGGCGAAAGCGGCUCUCUGGUCUGUAACUGACGCUGAGGCUCGAAAGCGUGGGGAGCAAACAGG
rnacentral:rRNA from 1 species